rnacentral:lncRNA from 1 species
CUUAGCUAUGAGCUCACAUUUGCCAAUGUAGUGUUCCAGACAGUUUUAUCAUCCACAUUGCUGACCUGGAAGAUGCAUCAUUGUCUAUGAUAUCUGCAAUGGAAAUGAUCACUAGGCAAUUUCAGCCUUGCAAAUCUAACUAUGAACAGUGACGGACAGGCUGAGAGCGGAGAGACUUUCCCUUGGACCCUUGCCUCAGUAACUUUUAAUACAUGUAAGACGGAUCAUCUGACUUUGGACUUUCUGAAGCAAUAACAUCGGAAAGUUAAUCAGAGUUGGCGUUCUGGGAAUUCAAGGGCAGAGAUAAGUGUUUCCUCCAGAUACUUCACUGUAUUUCAGCAAAUGACCUGAGGAAAGAAGUCAAAACUUCAUCACGAAAUAGAAGACUGUUCAUUUUCAAUAUUUCUUCCUUGGCCUCUAUGUGGCACUCCCUUGCUGUCUGUCCUGUUGACUUCUAUGGCUUCCACCCAAGGGAGGACAGCAUUAUAGUGGGUGAAUCCAGCACACCCCAAACUGCCCCUGCUCCCCUCUCCCCCGGGCAUGUGGGCCCUCGAAGGCAGGCUUCUCCAAACCAGCAGCAUGUGAACCCUGCCAGAAGUGAGGAAGAGCUCUAGGAGAGCAGCCAGCAGCAUCUGUUUUGCAUACAAAGGGCAGCAACAAUCAAAUCUCUUCUAGAA